rnacentral:rRNA from 1 species
AACGAACGCUGGCGGCAGGCUUAACACAUGCAAGUCGAACGAGAUCUUCGGAUCUAGUGGCGCACGGGUGAGUAACGCGUGGGAAUCUACCUUGGAGUCUGGGAUAACAGUUGGAAACGACUGCUAAUACCGGAUACGCCCUUAGGGGGAAAGGUUUACUGCUCCGAGAUGAGCCCGCGUCCAAUUAGGUAGUUGGUGAGGUAAAGGCUCACCAAGCCGACGAUUGGUAGCUGGUCUGAGAGGAUGACCAGCCACACUGGGACUGAGACACGGCCCAGACUCCUACGGGAGGCAGCAGUGGGGAAUUUUGGACAAUGGGCGCAAGCCUGAUCCAGCCAUGCCGCGUGAGUGAAGAAGGCCUCGGUUGUAAG